CUUCAAACUGUCAGAAAAACAGGAAGUGAAGGGAGGGCGGAGAGAUCUCAGAGUUUGAUACUCAUAAUACGAUAUAAAAUACACGUUAACUGAACCCCAAAAGGAAAUUCAUGUAUAGCUGCAGCAACUCAGUGAAGAAGAUAAAUGAUUACAACAUGUGAUGUAGUAUGCACUGCAUGCUGACACUGCUGACAAUGAACCCUUCUGACAGAAUACAAGAACAUCUUUACUGAUGCAAAUGUGUUUAUUUCUGUCCUCGUAACUUCAGAUGGACUUACAGCCUCUAAUAUAAUCAAAUCUUAAACAAUAAGUACAAUUCAUUGACACAUCAGCACAGAGGAACAGUUUCUAUUGUACUCAAGAGUUUACUGCAGUCAGUAGAUUAUGAGACUGUUUCCGGGAAACCACAGGGUCUCCACUCCUCUGCUGAUAUAAAAGCUGAGCACCUGUUCUCUCUGCCUCCUCAGUAUCCGGGACCAUCAACACAGAGAACUCAUAUGAAGGUGCUCCAUCCUUAUCCUCCUGUGAAACUGUUACCAUGGCAACGAAAGUCUCAUCCAAAUAUGACCACAUCACCUGCAAAGUUCUGAUCCGACCAGGAUCUCCAAAUGUUUACAGGCUGAAACCAAAGAAAGAGAAUAUUGGAACUCUGAAAAGAAUGACUCUCGGUGAAAAGGAUCCAAGCAAGUUAAACAAAACCAUCUUGCUUGUUGGUGCAACAGGAGCAGGAAAAUCUACUCUGAUCAAUGCUCUGGUCAACUACACCAUGGGAGUGAAGUGGAAGGACGAUGUCUGGUUUCAGAUCGUAGAGGACGAGGAGAAAAGUCAAUCAGAAAGUCCAACAUCAGAUGUGACUAACUCUGAGGGUGAGAAGAAAAGUCAGUGUGAAAGUCAGACAACAGAUGUGACUGACUUUGAGGGUGAGAAGAAAAGUCAGUGUGAAAGUCAGACAACAGAUGUGACUGACUCUGAGGGUGAGAAGAAAAGUCAGUGUGAAAGUCAGACAUCAGAUGUGACUGACUUUGAGGGUGAGAAGAAAAGUCAGUGUGAAAGUCAGACAACAGAUGUGACUGACUCUGAGGGUGAGAAGAAAAGUCAGCGUGAUAGUCAGACAUCAGAUGUGACUGACUCUGAGGGUGAGAAGAAAAGUCAGUGUGAUAGUCAGACAUCAGAUGUGACUGACUUUGAGGGUGAGAAGAAAAGUCAGUGUGAAAGUCAGACAUCGGAUGUGACUGACUUUGAGGGUGAGAAGAAAAGUCAGUGUGAAAGUAAGACAUCAGAUGUGACUGACUCUGAGGGUGAGAAGAAAAGUCAGUGUGAUAGUCAGACAUCAGAUGUGACUGACUUUGAGGGUGAGAAGAAAAGUCAGUGUGAAAGUCAGACAUCGGAUGUGACUGACUUUGAGGGUGAGAAGAAAAGUCAGUGUGAAAGUCAGACAUCGGAUGUGACUGACUUUGAGGGUGAGAAGAAAAGUCAGUGUGAUAGUCAGACAUCAGAUGUGACUGACUCUGAGGGUGAGAAGAAAAGUCAGUGUGAUAGUCAGACAUCAGAUGUGACUGACUUUGAGGGUGAGAAGAAAAGUCAGUGUGAAAGUCAGACAUCGGAUGUGACUGACUUUGAGGGUGAGAAGAAAAGUCAGUGUGAUAGUCAGACAUCAGAUGUGACUGACUCUGAGGGUAAGAAGAAAAGUCAGUGUGAAAGUCAGACAUCAGAUGUGACUGACUCUGAGGGUGAGAAGAAAAGUCAGUGUGAUAGUCAGACAUCAGAUGUGACUGACUUUGAGGGUGAGAAGAACAGUCAGUGUGAAAGUCAGACAUCAGAUGUGACUGACUUUGAGGGUGAGAAGAAAAGUCAGUGUGAUAGUCAGACAUCAGAUGUGACUGACUCUGAGGGUAAGAAGAAAAGUCAGUGUGAAAGUCAGACAUCAGAUGUGACUGACUUUGAGGGUGAGAAGAAAAGUCAGUGUGAUAGUCAGACAUCAGAUGUGACUGACUCUGAGGGUAAGAAGAAAAGUCAGUGUGAUAGUCAGACAUCAGAUGUGACUGACUCUGAGGGUGAGAAGAAAAGUCAGUGUCAAAGUCAAACAUCAGAUGUGACUGACUUUGAGGGUGAGAAGAAAAGUCAGUGUGAAAGUCAGACAACAGAUGUGAUCGUGUACGAGAUCUUUGGUUUUGAAGGUCAAAUUCUGCCCUGCUCUCUGACCAUCAUCGAUACUCCUGGAUAUGGAGACACCAGAGGAACUGAACAUGAUGUCAUCGUCAGUGAAAGGUUAUUAGACUUGUUCCGCUCAGACGAUGGAGUUCAUGAGAUUGAUGCAGUGGGUCUGGUGAUGAAAGCAAGUGAGAAUCGACUGAGUGACCGACUGAGGUACAUCUUUGAUUCAGUUGUGUCUCUGUUUGGAAAAAACAUGGAGAAGAACAUUGUUGCCCUCAUCACACACUCAAAUGGUGUGACACCUGAAAAUGUCUUCAAAGCUCUUGAGGCUGUAAACAUUAAAUGUGCCAGAGAUGACGAGAAUGAGCCAGUUCAUUUUAUGUUUGAUAACUGCCAGAGCACACAGAAAACAAAGAAAAAUAAGGUUCCUCUAAAAAAUGCAUGGAGCUUAACAGAGGACCAAAUGUGUCAAUUCACUGAUUUCCUGCAAAACACUUCACGUCAGAACCUGAGAACAACUGUUGAGGUGUUGAAUAGACGCAUCAGACUGACGGCCUGCAUCCACAACCUGCAAGAGAGAAUUGAGUUUAUUGAACUGAAACAGAGUGAAAUCCAGCAGACUCAGGAAGCUCUGAAGAAAUAUGAACAAGAAGAGAUGAAGAACAAUGAAGAGUUCACUGUAGAAGUUGAUGAGGUCUACAAAGAUAAAGAACCUGUCAGUGAGUGGAGAUGGUGGGCACUUGGGUUAAAUUAUGGAGGAGCUGUCUGCUGCACUGUCUGCAAGGAGACCUGUCACUAUCCAUGCACACUGGCCUGGUAUCCAGAACACUGUAUGGUCAUGAAAGAAAAAUGCACUGUAUGUAAGGGCAAGUGUUCUGUAUCAGCUCAUGAGAAAAAAUUAUACUGCACUGUCUGUACCGGGAAGUGUCCUGCAUCAGUUCAUGUGAAAGAUAAACAGUGCACUGUAUGUGAGGAUGACUGUUGUGUAUCAGGUCAUGAGGAAGGCAAACAAUGUCCUGUAUGUAAGGGUGAAAAAAAGAAAUCAGAUCAUGAUAAAAAAAUGUGGAAGUAUGUGAGCAAGACAAGGAAAGUUCAGAUGACCAUACAAGACAUGAAAGAGAAGUAUGAAAAGGGUAAAGCAGGCUGUGAGGAGUCAACAAGCCUUCUGGAAACUCUUCAGAAGAACAUCGAGGAACUUGAGAAAGAAAAAGAUCAGUGGCUGGAAGAAGCGUUCCAGCAUGUUGAGAGUCUGGAGCAGCUCGCCCUGAAUGUUAAGUCACUGUCCACUUUGGUCCAUUUGGACUUCCUGAUUGAGAAGAUGAAGGAGAAAGGAGACACAGAGAAGGUCACGAGACUGGAAAAGAUGAAAGGUCAAAUGGAUAAAAAUGAAAGAAUCAAAGCAGCACUGUCGUACAGGUUUGGUAGAGUAAAAGCAGCUCGUAGAGCAAUUAAAGCAGCAGAGAAGUAAGUUGUAGAUGAACAGAAAGAUAAUGGGGGGUCAGCUGUGUAGAAAACACAGUCUACAAUGUUGGUGAAAUGUGUUUCAUUCUGUAUAUAUUAAGUGUGAUGUUGAUGUAAUAACUACAUAAGAACAUUCAAAUGUAAUCACCUUUUAAAUAUCAGAUGUGUAAUUCCUCAAACAGCGCCCUCUGUGGUAUUUAAUGGCUGUUUUUUUUGUUCUUCCAGUUUAACUUUACUGUACAGAUUAGAAAACUGUUUGGAGCAACAGCUCUGGAUUUAAAUGGAGUGAGGACGCCCCCUGCUGUUUGAUGUUGAGUACAGCAGCUCCCCUCCUCUAUCUUUAAACAAGACAUUUAUUUUUCUUUAGUUUCCUUAUGUAGGUUCAUUGUUUUUAAGGUUUUCUAAUGUGUUUUUCAGUCAGUACAAGGCUGUGAUUCAUUCUGAUGUUGACAGAAGUCUCAUUAAACUGGUGGUGGGACAGUAACACAACACUGAGACAUAUAUGAUAUAAACUGUACUGAACAUAUAAAGUAGUUAACCAUGAUGCUUCCUUCUCAUGUUAAUCAGUUUGUACAGAGGAUGUCACAGAAUUUAGACACAAUGUCUGAUGUAUUUACAUUUGAUUUAUAUUCUGAUCAAUGUUAUUAUAUACUAUAUAUCCUGGUGUGUUGAUGUGUAUUCAUGCACAUCUAUAUAUCCCGGUGUGUUGGUGUGUAUUCAUGCACAUCUAUAUAUCCUGGUGUGUUGAUGUGUAUUCAUGCACAUUUAUAUAUCCUGCUGUGUUGAUGUGUAUUCAUGCACAUCUAUAUAUCCUGCUGUGUUGAUGUGUAUUCAUGCACAUCUAUAUAUCCUGCUGUGUUGGUGUGUAUUCAUGCACAUCUAUAUAUCCUGCUUUGUUGAUGUGUAUUCAUGCACAUCUAUAUAUCCUGGUGUGUUGAUGUGUAUUCAUGCUUGAGAUGACUAGUUAAAAUAUUUCAGAUGACACAGCUCAUUUAUGUUAUACUGUGUCUUUAACAAGCCAUAUUAUCAGUGAUUGAUAUAUAUUCUGAUGUUCUACAUGAAAUCGUCCUGACUGGAGCCGUUUUCUGUGAAUCAUUAAUAAAACCUCUGCUUGAUGAA